AGUGAACGCUGGCGGUAGGCCUAACACAUGCAAGUCGAACGGCAGCACAGUAAGAGCUUGCUCUUACGGGUGGCGAGUGGCGGACGGGUGAGGAAUACAUCGGAAUCUACUUUUUCGUGGGGGAUAACGUAGGGAAACUUACGCUAAUACCGCAUACGACCUACGGGUGAAAGCAGUGGAUCUUCGGACCUUGCGCGAUUGAAUGAGCCGAUGUCGGAUUAGCUAGUUGGCGGGGUAAAGGCCCACCAAGGCGACGAUCCGUAGCUGGGCUGAGAGGAUGAUCAGCCACACUGGAACUGAGACACGGUCCAGACUCCUACGGGAGGCAGCAGUAGGGAAUAUUGGACAAUGGGCGCAAGCCUGAUCCAGCCAUACCGCGUGAGUGAAGAAGGCCUUCGGGUUGUAAAGCCCUUUUGUUGGGAAAGAAAAGCAGCAGGACAAUCCCCGGCUGUUCUGACGGUACCCAAAGAGUAAGCACCGGCUAACUUCGUG
rnacentral:rRNA from 1 species